rnacentral:hammerhead_ribozyme from 1 species
AUCCAGCUGACGAGUCUCAAAUAGGAGAGAAACGCGCGUCUUGGUU